rnacentral:rRNA from 1 species
CAGCAGCCGCGGUAAUACGAAGGGGGCUAGCGUUGUUCGGAAUCACUGGGCGUAAAGCGCACGUAGGCGGACUUUUAAGUCAGGGGUGAAAUCCCAAGGCUCAACCUUGGAACUGCCUUUGAUACUGGAAGUCUUGAGUUCGGGAGAGGUGAGUGGAACUGCGAGUGUAGAGGUGAAAUUCGUAGAUAUUCGCAGGAACACCAGUGGCGAAGGCGGCUAACUGGUCCAUAACUGACGCUGAGGUGCGAAAGCGUGGGGAGCAAACAGGAUUAGAUACCCGAGUAGUCCCUGUCUCUUAUAC